CUUGAGGCCGGAAGCAGAGAAUUCCCCAGAACAGAUUGAAUUCUGGCUUUGUCUUAAUGAACGUCAAUAUUUAUUACCAAAGGCGGUGUGCUUCUUGGAGUGAUAGAGCAUUUCACCAUUUCAGCCCUCGCCUGUUGCCUUCCCAGGUACCAAAUGCUAUGUAAUUGCGGCUCAUAAAGGCAGCAGACAAUAUUGCCAAGGAAACUCACUCCUGGCUGUAAAUCUUCAUAAUCAAACCCAGCAGAGCUUUGCUUUCUGGUUUGGACAGAGUGUCCCUGAGGGCAGGGCCCACCCAGGUUUUCUAGUCCUCCUUCCUUGGCAGGGAGACCCCCAACACCCUCUGGUGAGGCAGGGGCUCCUGCUGGGAUUGGGGAUGAGGGCGCCAGCCAGCAAGGGCUGGAGAGGCCAAGAAGUGACAGAAGUUACUGUCCCCACCCCAAUGCAGAGCUGAGAGAGGCAGACAAUCACUCAGAAAUCUGGAAGGGCCCUGAGAGGUUAUUCCAUCCAACCUUCUUGCUCUGCAAAUGAGGAAGUGAGGCUCAGAGAGGUGGUUUUUGCAAGGUCACACGGCUCCCAGGCCAGGGCUCUUCCUAUUUGGCCACACCAUCUCCUGGGGGUUAAAGCGUGAGCUCAAAAGAACGCCCUGAGCUGGUUCCUCCUGCAAGGGUGAGUGGCUCCCAGCUGGAGAUUUUCCUCGACUCCUGUUCUGAGGAGGACUGGCCAGGCAUGUUGUAAAACGACCCUCAGAUGUGAUCUGUCUGAUGCUUUUCUCCUGGUUAGCCUGGAGUUCUGGGUUUGGGGGAGGAAGACCACAGAGGCAAAGUGCCAUUUUCAUCACGUCACAUCACUGGUGUAUCACAGCACUGGCCAUUGUUAGAAUCCACAUGUGUGAAGCCAGCUCCAGAGCUCUCUGAUGAUGGGGCUACAUCCCUUCCCAGCAUCUGCUUGCUUCCACACAUGCAGGUGCCAUCUCUCUCCCGUCUCUCCUGAUUCCAGAUCAUCUGACCCUGAUUCCCCAAAUGAAGCCCCUGUCCAAAAUUGGUCCCAUGGCUACUCAGAUUGUAUGAGGACCCACAAAGAAAUUUCUCCUUUCAAGGCAUUUCAAGAUAAAGGAAGCUCAUGAAAAGUUCCAGAUAAAGAUGCAGGAUGCUGAAGAAUCAAUAACAUUUAUUGAGUGCUUACUAAGUGCCAGACACUGUUCUAAAUGUUUUACAUGCAAAGCUUACUUAACAGGGAGAAGGUCCUGCUGCCGGGACAGCCAAGCCCCCAUAGGCCGCUCCACAUACUUAUGUGCAGGCUGACAAAAUGCAAGAAGGUACCUGUGCAAACAUGGCUUUUAAUCAUGGUCAGGAAGACACGUGACCACUGGGUCUAUUUCAAUGACUUCAUCCAUUCUGCUCAACCUCCUGACUCUGCCCCUAUUGCUAUUUUGACAUUCAUUCACAUACUAGCCAAAGCCUUCCUGUCCCCACUACCUCGAUGUAGGCUGCAGCUGGAUAAGCCAUCACUUACACCCAUUUUCUGGAAAGCUCUUCUUUGGGCAAGUGCUCAUUGAGUUUCUGAGAAAAGCUGCCAUGGGGGCCAACGUACCACCUAGGGAAGAAACCCAUCAGCAAGGACAGGCUCGGAGCUCCCCAGAACAGUGUCUGAUUGUCAUAAUGUCAUGUUGGAGAAACGAUAACCGUACCCUGCUUAAAGAGAAACCUCUUGCGUGUCACCAACAAUCAUGCAAACUAGACUCUUAAAAUGAGAUUAGGUCAAAGUACAACCAAUCAAAGCGGGAGUCUCAGUUGCUCUAUGACUUCAUUUAAAGUUUCAGUGCCAGCAGGAAGAAGAAAGAAAUCAAUAUUACAUUUUCUUCAUCAUCAAUUUUGCUUUUUGCUAAAUGAAAAUGCUUUCAUUCCCUCCCUGGUUCCUUCCACCAUGGAAGAUGUUCCUUGUCUCCCCCCAACUCUCCCCCGUUACUAUCUUCACCCCCAUCCUGUACUGCCAUGUAGGACAGUGCCGUACGUAUGCCUUUUUGGACUAAGCACUUAAGAGUAUUGCAGAGGAUGUCAUCUUAAUUCACCAAAGAUUUGCGAGUAUGACAGUCCUCGCUCAGCUGGCCUUCCUGCUGCAGCUGGGCUCUGACCGUGUUCUGCUCUAUGGAUGGAGCAUGGAUAACUUACUCCAAACAGCUCUUGAGGCCCCAAGGGCACAUCCCCCCUCAAUGCCCUGUGCCAGGCUGUAGUACCAGACCCUGUAGAAGGGAAUUUGAUAGGCAAGGUGAGCCCUUCUUGGAUUCAUUCACGGGCUUGGGUUACAGAAGCAGCAAAGGGACCUCAUUAUAAGAUGUUCUCACCUGCUCCGUUACAGAAGAACUGUAAGGCUUUUGCUGAACAACACAGUGGUCUCGUUCCCACAGUGGUCCCCACAGCAGUGGCCUUCAAGGGCUCUCAACCAGCUCCCACUCUAUUGGCGCUAAGAUGGUCCCAAUCCAGGACUUGACUCACUCGGCAGUAUUUGCGAAGAGAGACAAACAAGAAUUUUGCAAUAGAGGAAGGAAAAAUAAUACAAGUCCACGGGGCUGGAAACUCAUUUCCUGAGGAGUAGAAACACAUCGCAUGCUCUCUGGGACUCACCGAGCUCCAGGAAGCUCGACCAGUCACUUAAUAAGUCAUUGAGGACGUGUGGUUUAAUUAACUCGCCCAAAAUUCCUCCUUUCCCUUUCUCACUUUUGCUAUUAAUAUUUUUCGAUAUCUGAUAAUGCAGUGUAGUUAAUUCUUUCUGGCUUUAUAAUGAACACUGCCAUAAUGAAAAGGUUAGCAGUGCUUCAGGCAGCUUUUAAUUAUCCAGCCGAGCAGGUAAAAGCACUUUAUUCUUCUCUUUUUUUCCCCUUACUUAGCAAUUAAUGGAGGAGCUCAGUGGCACUUACUGUACCUUUUUUGUUUUCUAAUGGAUGAUGCGGCAUGGAGCAGGGAGGCCUUACUGUACCCCUGUUACUACCAAGUGCAAACGCUGGAUGUUGCACUGCUACGAUUCAGGUCUCUGGUUUGCGGGGCGGAAGCAAUUCUGCUGCCGGCUGAAGGCUUCUCUAAUUAAAAAGCCGAGUUACCUGGAGUUGUUGCUACCAA